GACGAACGCUGGCGGCGUGCUUAACACAUGCAAGUCGAACGGAAAGGCCCUGCUUUUGUGGGGUGCUCGAGUGGCGAACGGGUGAGUAACACGUGAGUAACCUGCCCUUGACUUUGGGAGAACUUCAGGAAACUGGGGCUAAUACCGGAUAGGAGCUCCUCCGGCAUGGUGGGGGUUGGAAAGUGUCGGCGGUUGGGGAUGGACUAGCGGCUUAUCAGCUUGUUGGUGGGGGAGUGGCUUACCAAGGCUUUGACGGGUAGCCGGCCUGAGAGGGUGACCGGCAACAUUGGGGCUGCGAUGCGGCCCAGACUCCUACGGGAGGCAGCAGUGGGGAAUAAUGCACAAUGGGCGGAAGCCGGAUGCAGCAACGCCGCGUGCGGGAUGACGGCCUUCGGGUUGUAAACCGCUUUCGCCUGUGACGAAGCGGGAGUGACGGUAAUGGGUAAAGAAGCACCGGCUAACUACGUG
rnacentral:rRNA from 1 species